GCUCUUUAUGCAGCGAAAGUGUGAUUAUAUAACUCGAAUGCAUCGAUGCGUUCAAAAGGGAGGAACGAGUGUGUACUCUGACUCGUGUCCGUCGUCGUGUGGGAAUAAAACAACGCGAAAUGUCAGUGAGCGAGCUGGGUUUUAUUUGUGUUCAUUGUGCCACCCACUGUAUAAUACAGUGCCAUUGCGUCACUGAAUAUUGUCCACAGUCGACCGACUUUACUUCCUCUUUGUCGCGAUUUGCGGAAAGUGACUGAACCUGUUUUCACUGUUCGGGGAAAUGAAACGACGAGAAAGGACUCCUUCGGAACAACAUGGUCGACGUGGAAAUGGCGGCUGUCUUGCCGGCUCAAAACGGCUUCCUCAGCGUGUUGUGUUCAAUACUUCGAAAAUUCCGCCUCGUGUAUCACAAUGAAAUCUCUUUACCGUACUUCGUCUAUGGAAGGACAUUUGAGUCGGAGAUUCCGUUUCUGAACGGCAUCAUUGCCGGGUGCUCAGUGAAUCUGCACCCUGAGCCUGUGCAGCAAACGAGCUCAUCUGAUCUUCCACUCAUUGUGUUUUGUGUGAACUCAACACGCGUGGGAACUGAUGUUGCAGCUGCACUCAGAAAUUGUGAAUUAAUGUAUGGAAAUCGAAUGGUCAUCAUGGUGGUAAUGAAUCACUUUCCACGUCAAGCAGCAUACAAAAACCCUCACAGCCAUGUACAUGUUCAACAAAACAACGUCCGGGCCACGUACGACUGUUUCUUCUCUGAAAACGAAGGAUUGCAUUCUUGUAACGAGAACAGGGAGGCGAUAAACGGAGUAGCGAAGUUGAUUUCAAUGAAUUUGCGACCAAAUUACCAGCUGAACAAGCUGGUAUUUGCAAGCUACAUUGGAUUUAGUGUUGCAUUGUACUUGUUCCGUAGGAUUUUUGUCCCAGUGUCAGGUAGACAACGAUGAGACAAAAGGGCAAACAAGAAAGAUUACCUAGUUCCAUUUCUCUUUUGUUUCAUGGCUCAUUAUGCUGGGAAGCCAAGUUCAAAUCUCAUUGACUCUGUACUCACCCAGUCUCCUCAUGUCCUUGUAAUUUAUGUUGAUGUACACUGGUCGAUAUGAAUGUCUUUGUCGCAAUGCUUACGAUUUAUAUACAAGCUUCUCCAUGAACCGUAGAUCAGUCUAUACUAAUAAACGUGUGUGUGUGUGUGUCAGUGUGUCUCCUCCAUUAUUCCAAAACCAUAAAACCUUGCAGCCUGAAACUUUGAAUGCAAACUAAGAAAACUCCACUCAAGUGAAAAUUGGGUGUUUGGGUUAAUUAAAACACUCAUUUUGAAGAUAAUCAACAGCCUAUUUAAUUAAAUCCUUCAUCACGUGAUCAUCGGCCACCUCGCUCUCUGCGGUCUUAAGGCGUUUCCUCGGUAACCUCUGUGGGGUCUGAAGCCGCCAUGUUUUUUUGGCCUGCUCAACAAUGCCUUGACUUGGAACAGGCUGCAACGAUUUCUUAACGAUAAAGGUUUUUUUUUCUUUCACUUUCCUCACUCAUUAUCGAAUGUCUGUUACUUCUCCAUUGAUAAAUACAAAUAAAAAUAAAACGUUUCGCUUUUUAAAGUUUCUUCAAACGUUUCGUGCUUUGUGUGGUAAAUGAUUUUACUCACUCAUAUUAUCACUUGGUGCAUUCUUCAACUUUCAGUUGCAAUACCAUGGCAUGGUUCUACAGAUGAUCACAAUGAUAAAAAUAAACUUUUCACUUCUGAAGUAAAGAAUUGCCACAUCACGGCAGGAAAGCCGAGAGGUACACAUGCUCAGUCUUUGUAGCCUGGAUUUGAAUCCCAACCCAGCUUUGAACUGUCCUCCCGGUGUUUUCCAGGCCGGGUGAUUCAUCACUGUGUGUGUCGUCUCUUGGAUGGACGAUAAACUGGGCCUCCUAUCUGCCAGAAUACCACACCCCUCUCCCUCCCAACCUAUCCGCCUCCCAACCUAUCCAGUCGCAAUACACCAACCACCUCUCUCCCAUCCCUAUCCCUCUUUCUGAUCCAGACCCCUCUCUCUCUCUCUCUCUGAUCCCUCCCCUCUCCCCCCUCUCUCUCCACUCCUCUCCCUCUCUCUCCACUCCUCUCCCUCUCUCUCAACCCUCCCCCUGUUGAAGGGACUGCAGUAUGUACGAAUCAGAUUCGGAGCCGAGCAGUGAGGGGCAAUGGUCACUGCACGUAUAUGCUGUUGGUUUUGAAUGCUCCCACUCCAGGUCUGUGUGUGUGUGUGUGUGUGUGUGUGUGUGUGUGUGUGUGUGUGUGUGUGUGUGUGUGUGUGUGUGUGUGUGUGUGUGUGUGUGUGUGUGUGUGUGUGAUUGGUAUCUUCAUGUGCGAGUUUCAGGAUGUGGAAUGCAGUCCUCCCAUGGUGGGCUCAAAGCAUCCAUCUUCAUUUCAGUAAGGGGUCACGAUUCAUGGACGAAGCGGUGGUUUUCUGUUCUCAAAGUUUUGUGCUGAGGGCUCUUCAGGAUCGUCGCUGAGCCCCGGACAUCUUCCAACUGUAGUUCGUUUGUAAUAAUGUUCCCAGGAAUGGUGGUUUUUCGCACACCUGUAAAGUAGUCUGUGGAGCUUAUGGGAUGGCACGUCGUCAGUCCGUCCGUCCGUCCACAAAUACUUGCAACUUCUCAGAAACUACACACGAUUUCUCAGAAAUUUGAUCACAAACUUCAUCACCCAUGAUGGCAUUAAAAAACUAUAAGGGCACUGGGUGGAGCACAUACCUCCGCCACACAAUGCCUGAUCUACGAGAACAUAUGUAUCUGGCCCAAUACAUUUUUGAAAUAUCGUGCUACCUCUCAAUGGUGAAGAAUCACUUACAAAAUUAUCAGAUCCGGAUGCGGAUCUUCACCAAAAUCGAAUCAGUUCAUCCUUGUCACACACCGAAGAUGUCCACCAAAUUUCAUCCGGAUCCGUCCACAACUUUUUGAGAUAUGCUGUACACAAAUAGACAGGGGUGAAAACAUAACCUCCUUCAACUUCGGUGGCAGAGGUAAUAAGGGGUCUACGGAGGGAGAUUACUGGGGGGUUGCCCCAAAAUAUGCAUUUGCUUUCUUCUCAGAAACUACACACACAAUUCCGAUGAAAGUUGAUCACCAUCUUCACCACCCGUGAUGUACUAAAGUUUGUUCAUGACAUUAACAAUAAAAAUCCAGUGGCAUUUACUUUCUUCUCCAUUAUGUAUUUUGUGGGUUAUCCAUACUUACCAGUGGUUGCCUGGUUGUCUUACCCAGUCGCUACCAGGUAAGUGGCCAAGGGUACUGCCCUUUUGUUUAAUAUCUCUGUGAGGUUCUUUCUCAUCAUUCCAGUAGCUCCAGCUAUCACUGGUACAACUUUGGCAUUCUUCAGCUUCCAGGAUCUUCUCACUUCAUUCUUGAGGUCUUGAUGUUUGGUCAUUUUCUUGAUUUCUGCAUUGUUUUGACCAAAAUCACUGGUAUCAACACCCUCAAUCAGCAACACCUUCUCUUUUUUAUCCCGAAGUAUGAUAUCUGGUCACAACGCUUUGUUUUCGAUGUUCACGCUCUAUGGCAUCAUUCGUUCGUAUGUGAGCGGUAGGUACUUCCAUGUUUCAGUGAUUGCUUUUGGUUCAUGUUCCCACAAAUAGGGGGGGGGGG
ensembl:lincRNA